AGAGGCUGAAGGCAGGCCCAAAGUAGCAGUGAGUCCAGCCUUCUGUCCAACCUCAUGUAGGAACUGUGAGUUCAGUGGCUUGGUUCUAGUGCCUAGACUUUCUUGGUAGGACUGUCUACAGUUUGGAAACAGAAAUUGCUCACCCUCCAUCAGAAGCCUUUCGUGACUUGCUCACAAGAAAUGACAUCAACGGCCUUUUGUUUGUCUUGACUUGGGAGAACAUGCCAAGAAGUCUUGCUCAGAAGAGUCUUUUCAGAUGUCAUUUAUGUCUCCCUGCUUCAUGAAAGUCAUCCACAAGUCAGCUUCUCUGUGGCUCCAGAGUUGUCAUCCUUUCAGUUCUGCCACAGCCCACAAAGCUGCUGUGGUCCACUCACUCCAUAAUGGGUGUGCAGCACUCACACCAGUGCUGGGAGCAGAGAUGAGAGGUCAAGAGCCACUUACUCUCAACUUGACCUCAAUGUUACUAGAAAGACCCUGAAACCUCAAUGGAUACCCUCGAGGACAGUGAUCUGGCACCAUGACUCCAGCUUUCAAAGCCAUUUUCCGGUGACUAACACAGGCAUUCAUUAAAGAUGCACUGAAUAAGGAUAAA